rnacentral:lncRNA from 1 species
AGGUAACGGAGCAAGCUCUGCCCUCAUGGCCGUGAGACCUCGGGAAGACGUUUGAUCUUGGUGGGCCGCACUUUCCUCCUCCGUAAAAGUGGCCGCACUUAGGAAAACGAGUAACUAAUAUGUCCACCUCCUAGCAAAUUAUUGGAAGGAACAUGAGAAACCUUCUCUCUUAAAACAGAGUUAGAAGAUGCGCUGAUACCGGAUUUCUGUGCCUACGUGGUGGGCAGCAUUCGGCUGGAGCUGCCAGCUCUGUUUCCUCUAGAAGGCGUCGUCCUCUUCAGUUUGCUGGUCCUCACUGUUUACAGGAUUCAGGCGUCUGUACUCACAUCUGGCCGCUGAGAGCAGGCCUACAGGACACCCCAAGUUUCCCUGCGUCCUCUCCUGCCACCCUGAAACCUGUUCUUCACACAACAGCCUGACUCAUCUCUUAAAAUAUGACCGCCAACAACCUCCCAACUGGAUACCUAAAUCUGAGGGUAACUCUUCUAACUGGUGAUUGACAUCUGCCGAAGCAAAGAAUCAGAUUAGCCCUGAGCUAACUGCUGCCAAUCCUCCUCUUUUUGCUGAGGAAGUCUGGCCCUGAGCUAACAUCUGUGCCCAUCUUCCUCUACUUUAUAUGUGGGACGCCUACCACAGCAUGGCUUGCCAAGUGGUGCCAUGUCCUCACCCGGGAUCCAAACUGGCGAACCUGGGGCCACCGAGAAGCGGAACGUGCAAACUUAACCGCUGUGCCACCGGGCUGGCCCCGGGUUAUUUGUCUUUUUAUUAAGUUGUAGGAAUUCUUUAUCUAUUCUAGAUGCCAGUCUUUUAUGAAGUAUAUUAAGUAAAUGUGUUGUGAAUAUUUCCUCCCAGUCUGUGGGUUGCCUUUUCAUUUUCUUAAUUGUGUUUUUUCAAGGGAAGUGUUAAAUUGUAUUUUAGUCAAAUUAGUCACAAUUUUCUUUUAUGAUUCAUUUUUGUGUCCUAUCCAAGAAAUCUCUGCCUCCCCAGGUUUGCAAAGAUUUUCUACUAUGUCUCCUUCUAGAAUUUUCAAUAGUGGUAGCUUUUACUUUUAUGUCUGAAUUAAAUUUCUAUUUUUUGUUGAGGAAGAUUGGCCCUGAGCUAACAUCCAUCCCAAUCUUCCUCUAUUUUGGUAUGUGGAACACUGCCACAGCAUGGCUGGAUGAGCAGCAUGUAGGUCCAGGCCCAGGAUCUGAACCCAUGAACCCUGGGCUGCUGAAGUGGAGGACGUGAAGUUAACCACUAUGCCACCAGGCUGGCCCCCGGUCUGAAUUAAUUUUUGAAUAUAGUUUGAUGUAUAAAUCAAAGUUAUUGUUUAUUUUCUUGCUUAUAACUGUCUGCUUGUUCCACUACCAUUUAUUAGAAUGAUUAUUCUUUCACUGUUGAAUUUCCUUGGUGCCUUUGCUGCAAACUAGUUGUCCAUGAAUAUGUGGGUAUUUUCUGUUCUGUUCCAUUCAUCUGCCGGUUCAUGCUUACAAUACUAUCUUACUAUUUUGAUUAUUAUACCUUAUAGUAAGUAUUGAUAAUCAGGUAGAGUAAGUCCUUGAACUUUUCAAAAAGUGGGUGUAUAAUUUUUUUU